rfam:TPA: Bos taurus chromosome 14, whole genome shotgun sequence.
AUUUUAGCAUAAGUAUGUCUUGUGCAAUAUUUGGGACAUACUUAUGCUGAAA